AUUGAACGCUGGCGGCAGGCCUAACACAUGCAAGUCGAACGGUAACAGGAAGCAGCUUGCUGCUUCGCUGACGAGUGGCGGACGGGUGAGUAAUGUCUGGGAAGCUGCCUGAUGGAGGGGGAUAACUACUGGAAACGGUAGCUAAUACCGCAUAAUGUCGCAAGACCAAAGAGGGGGACCUUCGGGCCUCUUGCCAUCGGAUGUGCCCAGAUGGGAUUAGCUUGUUGGUGGGGUAACGGCUCACCAAGGCGACGAUCCCUAGCUGGUCUGAGAGGAUGACCAGCCACACUGGAACUGAGACACGGUCCAGACUCCUACGGGAGGCAGCAGUGGGGAAUAUUGCACAAUGGGCGCAAGCCUGAUGCAGCCAUGCCGCGUGUAUGAAGAAGGCCUUCGGGUUGUAAAGUACUUUCAGCGGGGAGGAAGGGAGUAAAGUUAAUACCUUGGCUAAUUGACGUUACCCGCAGAAGAAGCACCGGCUAACUCCGUG
rnacentral:rRNA from 1 species